GACGAACGCUGGCGGCGUGCCUAAUACAUGCAAGUAGAACGCAGAUGCGAACGGGUGAGUAACGCGUAGGUAACUGCCUCAUAGCGGGGGAAAACUAUUGGAAAAGAUAGAUAAUACCGCAUACUGUGAGAUGGACCUGCGUUGGAUUAGCUAGUUGGUGAGGUAAAGGACAACCAGGGCGAAGAUACAUAGCCGACCUGGGAGGGGGAUCGGCCAUACUGGUACUUGGACACGGCUCAGCGUGCGACGGGGGGCAGCAGUAGGGAAUGUUCGGCAAUGGACGGAGUGCUGACCGAGCAACGCCGCGUUAGGGAAGAAGGUUUUCGGAUCGUAAAGCUCUGUUGUUAGAGAAGCGGUAAUUAAUCAGAAAGGGACGGCGAACUACGUGCCAGCAGCCGCGGUAAUUC
rnacentral:rRNA from 1 species